rnacentral:tRNA from 1 species
GCGGAAGUGGUGAAAUUGGUAUACACGCAGCCUUGAGGUGGCUGUGGGAGAAAUCCCGUGUGGGUUCGAGUCCCUCCUUCCGCACCA